CCUGGAUAGCCUUGUUAAUUUUCUGUCUCGUUGAUCUGUCUAAUGUUUGACAGUGGAGUGCUAAAGUAUUCCACUAUUAUUGUGUGGGAGUCUAAGUUUCUUUGUAUGUCAUUAAGAACUUGCUUUAUGUAUCUGGGUGCUCCUGUAUUGGGUAUAUAUAUGUUUUGAAUUGAUAGCUCU